rnacentral:misc_RNA from 1 species
GAUGAAGAACGUAGCGAAAUGCGAUAAGUAAUGUGAAUUGCAGAAUUCAGUGAAUCAUCGAAUCUUUGAACGCACAUUGCGCCCCCUGGUAUUCCGGGGGGCAUGCCUGUUCGAGCGUCAUUUCAACCCUCAAGCUCUGCUUGGUAUUGAGUCCAUGUCAGCAAUGGCAGGCUCCAAAAUCAGUGGCGGCGCCGCUGGGUCCUGAACGUAGUAAUAUCUCUCGUUACAGGUGCUCGGCGUGCUUCUGCCAAAACCCCAAUUUUUCUAUGGUUGACCUCGAAUCAGGUAGGGAUACCCGCUGAACUUAAGCAUAUCAAUAAGCGGAGGA